rnacentral:rRNA from 1 species
UACGUAGGUGGCGAGCGUUGUCCGGAUUUACUGGGCGUAAAGAGCGCGCAGGCGGUCGUGCAAGUCGCGUGUGAAAGCCCCCGGCUCAACUGGGGAGGGUCACGCGAUACUGCUCGACUCGAAGGCAGGAGAGGGAAGUGGAAUUCCCGGUGUAGUGGUGAAAUGCGUAGAUAUCGGGAGGAACACCAGAGGCGAAGGCGGGUUACUGGGCUGAUACUGACGCUGAUGCGCGAAAGCUAGGGGAGCAAACGGG